UCCCAGUGGCUCGAAUGAUAAAGAAUCUGCCUGCAACACAGGAGACCCAGGUUCAAUCCCUGGGUUGGGAA
rnacentral:tRNA from 1 species